rnacentral:rRNA from 1 species
AAGCCAGACUCCUACGGGAGGCAGCAGUGAGGAAUAUUGGUCAAUGGGCGCGAGCCUGAACCAGCCAAGUCGCGUGAGGGAGGACGGCCCUACGGGUUGUAAACCUCUUUUGCCGGGGAGCAACGGGCGUCACGUGUGGCGCCACUGAGAGUACCCGGAGAAAAAGCAUCGGCUAACUCCGUGCCAGCAGCCGCGGUAAUACGUAGGGGGCAAGCGUUAUCCGGAUUUACUGGGUGUAAAGGGAGCGCAGGCGGCGUGGCAAGUCAGAUGUGAAAACCCGGGGCCCAACCCCGGGAGUGCAUUUGAAACUGCCAUGCUGGAGUGCCGGAGAGGUAAGCGGAAUUCCUAGUGUAGCGGUGAAAUGCGUAGAUAUUAGGAGGAACACCAGUGGCGGAGGCGGCUUACUGGACGGUAACUGACGCUGAGGCUCGAAAGCGUGGGGAGCAAACAGGAUUAGAUACCCUUGUAUC